rnacentral:rRNA from 1 species
GACGAACGCUGGCGGCGUGCCUAAUACAUGCAAGUAGAACGCUGAAGGAGGAGCUUGCUUCUCUGGAUGAGUUGCGAACGGGUGAGUAACGCGUAGGUAACCUGCCUGGUAGCGGGGGAUAACUAUUGGAAACGAUAGCUAAUACCGCAUAAGAGUAGAUGUCGCAUGACAUUUGCUUAAAAGGUGCAAUUGCAUCACUACCAGAUGGACCUGCGUUGUAUUAGCUAGUUGGUGGGGUAACGGCUCACCAAGGCAACGAUACAUAGCCGACCUGAGAGGGUGAUCGGCCACACUGGGACUGAGACACGGCCCAGACUCCUACGGGAGGCAGCAGUAGGGAAUCUUCGGCAAUGGACGGAAGUCUGACCGAGCAACGCCGCGUGAGUGAAGAAGGUUUUCGGAUCGUAAAGCUCUGUUGUAAGAGAAGAACGAGUGUGAGAGUGGAAAGUUCACACUGUGACGGUAUCUUACCAGAAAGGGACGGCUAACUACGUG